rnacentral:rRNA from 1 species
AACUUAUGACCCUGUGAACCUGGUCCAAUCUCUAGUAGAUUGCGUACCGGUGUGCACGGGUCAUUUUUCUGGAGAGCAUCACUGCCCUUGAUUGGGUUGGUGAUGUAAUUCAGAUCAUUUACUGUGAGUAAAUCAAAGUGUUCAAAGCAGGCUUUAAUGCUUGUAUGGUUCAGCAUGGAAUAAUAAGAUAAGACUUAGGUUUUGUUUUGUUGGCUAUACGAACCAAAGUAAUGAUUGAUAGGGAUAGUUGGGGGUGCUAGUAUUCAAUGGUCAGCGGUGAAAUGCGAGGACCCAUUGAAGACUAACUUAUGCGAAAGCAUU